GCUUUUGAGAUGCCAGUUGGAUUCAGAAGUUUCCAAAUAAAUGUGAGAAGGUGCCUUUCCAAAAGACAAGCAUCAUCAUCCCUUUGAGAAAAGAAUUACAAAGCCUGGGUCCUUGUCACUGGGAUGCGUUUCAAAUGGAAAAUCACUGACGUCUGGAAUUUUGUUCCGGUGUAACCAAAGCUCUAUGGUGCACACCGUUUCCGGGUCAGUCCUUUGAGACUGGCCUGUGGGCAUAAUCAGGCCCCUCUCCGACUGCUCCUCCUCCGUCCCUUUUGUGUCUGCCUGUUGGAGAAAUGCCCCGUGGUGAAGCUGGAAGUCAGAGGACAGAGUCAUACUGGAAGUAGAUGUCGCCUCACGCUAGGCCCUGGGUUUUCCAAGAGAGCAAUGGCUCCCUGGCAUUCUAUGUUUGUAGGACAAGUAGGAGAAGGAGGUGGACAAGGAGAAGGACAUUUAAAAGAAGAGAGUGACUGAGUUCCAUCGCGGAUCUUUCCCCCACUCAGGACAGACUUUGCGACGGCCACGCCUUGCUCACCAGCCUGGGCCGUGCCCGAGGUUGCAGAGUCUCUGGGUCACCCUGAGUCAGAUCUUGUGUCUUCGAUGUUGAUUUUGAAAUGUAGAAGCCAAUCGUUUUCCUGAGAAGUGUGGUCUGAGAUAAAUGUCUAUCUAAGUAAAGGAAGGCAAGACUCCGUC